rnacentral:rRNA from 1 species
UACCAGCACCCCGAGUGGUCGGGACGUUUAUUGAGCCUAAAGCAUCCGUAGCCGGUUCUACAAGUCUUCCGUUAAAUCCACCUGCUCAACAGAUGGGCUGCGGAAGAUACUAUGGAGCUAGGAGGCGGGAGAGGCAAGCGGUACUCGAUGGGUAGGGGUAAAAUCCGUUGAUCCAUUGAAGACCACCAGUGGCGAAGGCGGCUUGCCAGAACGCGCUCGACGGUGAGGGAUGAAAGCUGGGGGGAGCAAACC